rnacentral:rRNA from 1 species
GAUGAACGCUAGCGGCAGGCUUAAUACAUGCAAGUCGAGGGGCAGCAGGACUGUAGCGAUACAGUUGCUGGCGACCGGCAAACGGGUGCGGAACACGUACGCAACCUACCCAAAACUGGGGGAUAGCCCGGGGAAACCCGGAUUAAUACCUCGUAACCUUUUUAAGUGGCAUCGCUUGAUAAGUAUAGCCCCGGCGGGUUUGGAUGGGCGUGCGCCUGCUUAGGUAGUGGGUGCGGGUAACGGCCCACCAUGCCUGCGAUCAGUAACUGGUGGGCGGGCACGACCAGUGAGAGGGGAACUGGGAAACGGGCCCGACGCCUACGGGAGGCAGUAGUAAGGAAGAUUGGUGAAUGGAAGCAAGUCUGAUCCAGCCAUGCCGCGUGAAGGAUGAAGGUCCUCUGGAUGGUAACCUUCUGUUAGGGGGGAGGAAACGCGGAUAUUCUUAUCCGAUUGACGGUACCUCAGGAAUAAGCACCGGCUAACUACGUG